GACGAACGCUGGCGGCGUGCUUAACACAUGCAAGUCGAACGGAAAGGCCCUGCUUUUGUGGGGUGCUCGAGUGGCGAACGGGUGAGUAACACGUGAGUAACCUGCCCUUGACUUUGGGAUAACUUCAGGAAACUGGGGCUAAUACCGGAUAGGAGCUCCUGCUGCAUGGUGGGGGUUGGAAAGUUUCGGCGGUUGGGGAUGGACUCGCGGCUUAUCAGCUUGUUGGUGGGGUAGUGGCUUACCAAGGCUUUGACGGGUAGCCGGCCUGAGAGGGUGACCGGCCACAUUGGGACUGAGAUACGGCCCAGACUCCUACGGGAGGCAGCAGUGGGGAAUAUUGCACAAUGGGCGGAAGCCUGAUGCAGCAGCGCCGCGUGCGGGAUGACGGCCUUCGGGUUGUAAACCGCUUUCGCCUGUGACGAAGCGUGAGUGACGGUAAUGGGUAAAGAAGCACCGGCUAACUACGUG
rnacentral:rRNA from 1 species